rnacentral:sRNA from 1 species
AGGGUAGUACUCGUAGUAGAGACCAAGAUUUUCUUACGAAAGCAAGAAAAGAAAAGAAGACGAUGAUAUCCAUGCAAGGAGAAGGAGAAGUAGAAGUAGAAGCAGAGAGAGUACCUCCUUGGUCUUGGCCUGGAUGUCGACGACGGCGGAGGAGGAGGAGGAGGACCAGGCGGCGAGGUGGGAGCGCAUGAAGGCGUCGAUCUUGGGGAGGAGGGAGGAGCGGAUCAUGGCGGGGCGGACGAGGGAGAGCAUGGCGCCGCGCAUGGCGCGGUGGAGGGGGCCCUGCACGGCGGCGAUGUUGUUCCGCCCCAGGAUGUCCAGCAUCGACUGCGGGUAGCCCGGGACGAACCCGCGCCCUUCGCUGGCCAGCGCCCGCCGGUUCAGCUCCGCCUCCAUACACACCACCGUCGGGCACCCCAGGAUGUGCGUCCUGAACACGCUCCCGUACCUGCAAAAUCUUUCGCUUUUAGUACUACUGCUACUAUUGCUGCUACUGCUAGUGGUAUUAGUGUUUGAUUAGUUUUCUCGUUGAUAAUAAAAGGAAAUGGAGGAAUGAAUGAUUGUGAUGGAUGAAUGCUGCUGCUAGUAGUACAGAUUCUGCAACAAGGAGAAG